rnacentral:misc_RNA from 1 species
AAUCGACCGCAGAGAAAGUAAGAGCAUUGUACGCCACUAUAACCAGAGACCGGUAGUGCUGAGAAUUCCGGAUAGUGCGCAAUGAGGAGACGCUUUUGAGGUGAACGGCAGCGUUCCGCCUGUGAUUACAGACGUUAUCAAUUAGUACUCAAAAAGGUGGUACCGCGCUAAUAGCGCCCUUGGU